GCCUUAAAUUUGGCAACACUACACAAUCGCAUUUUCCGUUGUAUGGAAUUAUGCGUAAAGCAGUUACUUAAAUGGCGCUUCCAUAAAGAAGAUAAGCCUAGCAAACACACAAAGGUCGGCGUGUAUUAAUAUAAACAUGCGUAGCUGUACAUACAUGUAUGCAUGCAUGUAUGUAUGUGAGCAGCAGCCGCAACUGCAGUCAGUCCAGACAUAUAACAGAGUGGUAAAAGAAUAACUGCAUGCGCCUUUCCAUCUGCCUCAGGAGAGAAACCAGCACCCGAGGGCGAGAGAAUAAGUGAUAUUUGGCAACAGGAUUUUACCAUUUCCUGUCGCCACUUCAAACGAACUUUUUGUCUCACAGGAAAUUGGAAGGUUAGAUGGAGCUGUGUGACCUGGAAGGAAGGACUUGCCACACGAACAAGGUUUUCAGAUAUGAUCCUUAUGCACAUCGGCAGCAAGGGCGGAGAAUUUUUAGGACACAGUUCUUGCUACUUACCAGCCUCUCGUAAAACUGAAAAUAUGUAAGGAUAAUCGAGUUCUCCCGAGCAAGAUGGUUCAUGGCGAUGGGGUGCCUGGGCGACCUGCACAUGACCUGAAAAUGAGUAAACAUCAUAUUUUAUGCAUUUCCACUGACAUUCAUUAAGGCUACGUAUGGCAAUGCUGGCGUAUGCAGGUAUAUGCCAGGUAAGGCAAACAGUAGACAGCUGACCUGGCAGAGAGGACAAGGAGCUGUAGCAAAUGCUGCUCAUUCAAGUAUUUGUUCAUUUUAUUCAUAGUUGGAUAUUAUGUUUACUAAUUGUUCUAUAUUUAAUCAAAGAGGAUUUGUUACACUGACAUUGGAUAAAAUAUGAAAUGUAAUGUUAAAUACAUUUUAUUAUUGAAGUU